AAACCCUAAUAGUUCACCAUGCUUUGAAAAGAAACUAGAGAUGCAGCUUUUAAACCCGCUCCUCUGGUUCAGAAGCCAAUUUCUUCGAUCUUGGAGAAAAUUCGGCAGAGGAAAUUGGAGAUUUUACAGAAGUAGGUUGAUUUGCGUUAAGAUUGUUGUUGUUCAUUGGGGUAUGGAUAAAAUAAACAUUUGUUUGUUUAUUUUGGUCUAUGGUGUAUGUGAAUCUACAUUUAAUACUCAUAUUAUGUACUUCUAUCUCAAAUUGAAAAGCGAUUAAUUUCCUUAAUAUUAUUGCAUGUGGACAUCUAUAUAUUGAUUUUUAUGCUUUCGUAUGAGAUUGAAAUGAUAAUUAAUGUCAGUCUAUAAUACAUUGUUCUGGUCAUCAUACAGGGGGAUUUGUGGGCUCUCAUUCGCAAACAAGGGACGUCUUCUUCACAUUGUUGGACAUAAUGGGGUAGCAUACGGGGUUAAUACU
rnacentral:lncRNA from 1 species